AAAAAAAGAAAGGAAGAAGAAGCAGGAGGAGGAGAAGGAGAAGAAGGAGAAGGAGAAGAAGGAGAAGAAGAACAUUCUAGGCAGAAGGAGCAGCCAGGGAAGAGACCCCGACGGACAGGAGCUGGACAGGGCCAAACAUAAAGAAGGCCCAGGUGUCUGUGAUUGGUGGUGGUGGCAGGAGGGAAAAGCUGGUUGGAUGAAAUUGCCAUAAACUGAUCUGGGAAAGACUGGAGAAGAGUGGGUUUGGAGAGGAAAAUCCAAUGAUCAUUUAUGGACACGUAACCCUUGAGAUGCCUGUUAGACAUCCAAGAGGAGUUGCAGAGUCAGCUGCUAGGUGUAUGACUCUGGACUUCAGGAGAGAGAUCAGCACUGGAGCCUUGGAUCUGGGAGGCAUAGUGAGUGAAUGGAU
rnacentral:lncRNA from 10 species